rnacentral:rRNA from 1 species
UAGACCUGAAAUCAGC